CAAUGAUCAGUCCACGAUUGAUCUCUUUACAGCCAAGAAAGCGGACACCAGCAAGAAAGAGAAGCCAGAAGUUAAGACUGCGGAGAAAGGCAAGAAGAAAGAUCAAACCACAGACGAUUCCAAGCCAAAAGAAGCUCCCAAAAAGGAUACACCAAAAACCUUAGGGAAGCCAAAGAAGGAGGAAUCAGUAGAAAAGAGCAACAAAGAAGAAAAGUCCCAGAAAGAAAAAGAAGAAGACUCACCUGCCGCCAGUAAUCAAAAAUAAACAAGCAGGAAGAGUAAAGGCAAAAAACAGAAGGAGGAGGUCAACCAGAAGGAAGAAAACGACCCAAGGAAGGAAAAGGACCCCAAGAAGACUACCAAGAAGUUCAACAUUCGACGCAAGCGUUACAUAGGAAUUGGCGAUAACACAACAGACAAUCGGAUACAUGAGAUAACAUGAAGAAGAGGACACUAACGGAUCGCUAACCAACACAUCAUAUGCUCCUAUAUAUUGGACUCCUUCAAGCGGACGACGAUUGAUGGUAUCAAUGUUGUUUGAUAGACGGCGCUGUAAAACUAAAGGCGCAUUACACGUCCGUCUCUAGGUUACAUACAUGAACAAAUAAGACAUACCAAAGACAAUUUGGAUUAUAUUAAGGAUAACGCAAAUGUUAUACCACACUAGUGAUGGUAGAACAAUAAUAAGAAAUGUUAAUACUUAAGAAUGUUAACCUAAGCAAAAAUUGUAAACAAAGCAAAGAUUGCACUAUAUAGAUACUGCACUCAGAGCUGUAAGAAUAUGUUAAAAGUAUCUUAAGUAGUCGUAAACAAUGUAUACACAAUGUUCCGAACGAUGUUAUUAGUUUAAGCAACUGUUAAGCCGUAUAUAAUGUAACACAAUGAGCUUGUACACAUAGUUAAGCUAGACAUAAGUAACGUUCAGCCAAUUGCCAGACAAUGUUAAGAUAAUCAAUGAGGUAGAAAGGAAGAAAACGACUCAAAGAAGGAAAAGGAGCCCAAGAAGACUGCCAAGGAGUCCAAGAAAGAAACCCCCAAAGCCGCAGAGCAAAACAAAAACAAUGAUCAGUCCACGAUUGAUCUCUUUACAGCCAAGAAAGCGGACACCAGCAAGAAAGAGAAGCCAGAAGUUAAGACUGCGGAGAAAGGCAAGAAGAAAGAUCAAACCACAGACGAUUCCAAGCCAAAAGAAGCUCCCAAAAAGGAUACACCAAAAACCUUAGGGAAGCCAAAGAAGGAGGAAUCAGUAGAAAAGAGCAACAAAGAAGAAAAGUCCCAGAAAGAAAAAGAAGAAGACUCACCUGCCGCCAGUAAUCAAAAAUAAACAAGCAGGAAGAGUAAAGGCAAAAAACAGAAGGAGGAGGUCAACCAGAAGGAAGAAAACGACUCAAGGAAGGAAAAGGACCCCAAGAAGACUACCAAGAAGUACAAGAAAGAACCCCCUAAAUAUUGUUUAUUAAUACGCUUUUUUACAGGUUCAACAUUCGACGCAAGCGUUACAUAGGAAUUGGCGAUAACACAACAGACAAUC